GACGUAGGGCGCGAGCGUUUGUCCGGAUUUAUUGGGCGUAAAGAGCUCGUAGGCGGCUCAUUGCGUCAACCGUGAAAACCAGCAGCUCAACUGUUGGCUUGCGGUUGAUACGGGUGGGCUGGAGUUCGGUAGGGGAGACUGGAAUUCCUGGAUGUAGCGGUGGAAUGCGCAGAUAUCAGGAAGAACACCAAUGGCGAAGGCAGCUCUCUGGGACGGUACUGGACGCUGAGACGGCGAAAGCGUGGGGAGCGAACAGG
rnacentral:rRNA from 1 species